UUCGUGAUUGUUAUUUAAAACACAAUGAGGUAAACAAAUUUUCACGUCGGCUGGUCUAAUUUUUAUUUUACUAUAUUUAACCGGAUUGCCGACGGAAAACGUUAAUAAGUGAGAACGGGAUGGUGGGAAUUGUAAUUAUAUGUGAAUGUAUGUAGAUUUGUCCGAGUCCUCGGAGUCCUUGGCCAACGCUCCUGAAAAAUAGCUGUGUUUCACCCUUUGCAGGAUUUUUAUUGGCACAAAACAUUUCAU